GCCAUGCAUUUAUGAAAGUCUGACUUCAAAUGCCCAGAACCGUGUAAAAGCUAGGCACGCUAACAAGCAUCUGUAAUCCCCGAAGAUGAGAGACAGAAUUCCCAGAAGCUUGUGGACCCAGAUGGUAUACACAGCAGCAGACAAGAAACAAAGCAAGGUAGACAUCAAAGGUUUUUUUCUGGCCUCCACACAUGAACACAGAACCUCACAUGUAUGUAUAUAUAUAUGGUGAAAAUACAUUGACGUCAUACCUUGUUUAUGAAAUGUUCCAGGAGAAAACAGUCUGAGUAAAGAACCACGGAAGAUGCCAGCAAGGAUGGAAGAGGAAAGUGAUUGUGGAGUCAGUAGACGUAGCAAGGUGGAGUGCUGUGUGUAGGAAGGGUCAGUGGUAGACAAGGUGGAGUGCUGUGUGUAGGAAGGGUCAGUGGUAGACAAGGUGGAGUGCUGUGUGUAGGAAGGGUCAGUGGUAGACAAGGUGGAGGGCUGUAUGUAGGAAGGGUCAGUGGUAGACAAGGUGGAGGGCUGUAUGUAGGAAGGGUCAGUGGUAGACAAGGUGGAGUGCUGUAUGUAGGAAGGGUCAGUGGUAGAUUUUCAGAUUGAGUUAAGAGAACUGAAAAUAUGAAUUAAGAUUCAUAGUUCAGAGAUCUUUGACCAGUUAUUUUUGUUGAACUGUAGAUGACAGUGGGAUUUAAGGAUAAGUAAUUGAAAAUUAAACCGUGUAAGUAUUCCUGAUGUUAAAACGGAGAUGAAGGGGGUGGAGAGCAGGCUCAGUGAUUAAGAGAACACACUGAUCUUGCAGUGAGCUCAAAUUUGUUCCCAUUCACAUUGGGCAGUUCACAACCACCUGUAAACUCCACUUCCAGGUAACUAAUGCCUCUUGACUUCUAUAGCACCUAGACUCAGGUGUAUAUAACUGUACACAAACUAAAGCAAAGGCUUUUUUAAAGAUUAAUGGUGGGCACAUCUAUAAGUGAUAAACUUAAUCUAGUUUAGAAGCUCAUGAAUGUCAUAUAGUUAAUUACAUACAGUGGUAUCUAGAGAAGUCCAUGUUACAAAAAGACCCCUUGAUACACUAAUGUUCUAGCCGUCAAGAUUAUUUCUUAAUUCCAGAUCCAGUCUGUUUUCUCCACUCCUCAUGUUUGACCUCUAAACAACACUGAUACUUGACGUUUUUUUUUUUUCUCCAUCCCUCCUCUGACCUCAAAUAUCUGUGCUUUUCUCAACACCCCCCUUUCCUCAUCGAGUAACCUAACCUCUUGUUUUUUCUUUGGGGUCCCAGUCCAAUGUGUAUAAAUCUAUAAAUUAACAUCCACAACAUUCUAUCUUGCAAGCAAUCUGGAACACUGUUUUGUACAACAAAAAUACCAAUGAUUGCAAAAUACCAGGCUGGAGAGAUGGCUCAACGAUUA
ensembl:lncRNA